rnacentral:rRNA from 1 species
AUUAACGCUGGCGGCGCACAUAAGACAUGCAAGUCGAACGGAAGUCGUUACAAACAGAGUGAAAGAUUUAUCUGGAACGAAGAAUGUAACAAUGGCUUUAGUGGCGGACUGGUGAGUAACACGUAAGGAACCUGCCUAUUAGAGGGGAAUAACAACGAGAAAUCGUUGCUAAUACCGCAUAAGCUAGUAAUACCGCAUGGUAUAGCUAGAAAAGGAGUAAUCCGCUAAUAGAUGGCCUUGCGCCCGAUUAGCUAGUUGGUGGGGUAACGGCCUACCAAGGCAACGAUCGGUAGCCGAGCUGAGAGGCUCAACGGCCACAUUGGGACUGAGAUACGGCCCAGACUCCUACGGGAGGCAGCAGUCGGGAAUAUUGCGCAAUGGAGGAAACUCUGACGCAGUGACGCCGCGUAUAGGAAGAAGGUUUUCGGAUUGUAAACUAUUUUAGACAGGGAAGAAAAAAGACAGUACCUGUAGAAUAAGCUCCGGCUAACUACGUGCCAGCAGCCGCGGUAAUACGUAGGGAGCAAGCGUUAUCCGGAUUUAUUGGGUGUAAAGGGUGCGUAGACGGGAAAGCAAGUUAGUUGUGAAAGCCCUCGGCUUAACUGAGGAACUGCAACUAAAACUAUUUUUCUUGAGUGCAGGAGAGGAAAGCGGAAUUCCUAGUGUAGCGGUGAAAUGCGUAGAUAUUAGGAGGAACACCAGUGGCGAAGGCGGCUUUCUGGACUGUAACUGACGUUGAGGCACGAAAGUGUGGGGAGCAAACAGGAUUAGAUACCCUGGUAGUCCACACCGUAAACGAUGGAUACUAGGUGUAGGAGAUGAUUUCAUCAUCUGUGCCGAAAGCAAACGCAAUAAGUAUCCCACCUGGGGAGUACGGCCGCAAGGUUGAAACUCAAAGGAAUUGACGGGGGCCCGCACAAGCAGUGGAGUAUGUGGUUUAAUUCGAAGCAACGCGAAGAACCUUACCAGGGCUUGACAUAUACAGGAAUACUUAAGGAAACUUAGGUAGCUUUUCGGAGUCUGUAAACAGGUGGUGCAUGGUUGUCGUCAGCUCGUGUCGUGAGAUGUUGGGUUAAGUCCCGCAACGAGCGCAACCCCUGUGAUUAGUUGCCAACACGUAAAGGUGGGAACUCUAAUCAGACUGCCGGUGAUAAAUCGGAGGAAGGUGGGGACGACGUCAAAUCAUCAUGCCCUUUAUGUCCUGGGCAACACACGUACUACAAUGGUCGUAACAGAGAGAGACGAAGCAGUGAUGCAGAGUAAAACUUGAAAAGCGACCUCAGUUCGGAUUGAAGGCUGAAAUUCGCCUUCAUGAAGUCGGAAUUGCUAGUAAUGGCAGGUCAGCAUACUGCCGUGAAUACGUUCCCGGGCCUUGUACACACCGCCCGUCACACCAUGAGAGUUGGAGAUACCCGAAGCCUAUGAGCUAACUAUAUGAGGCAGUAGUCGAAGGUAGAAUCAAUGAUUGGGGUG